rnacentral:rRNA from 1 species
UACGUAGGUGGCGAGCGUUGUCCGGAUUUACUGGGCGUAAAGGGAGCGUAGGCGGACUUUUAAGUGAGAUGUGAAAUACCCAGGCUUAACUUGGGUGCUGCAUUUCAAACUGGAAGUCUAGAGUGCAGGAGAGGAGAAUGGAAUUCCUAGUGUAGCGGUGAAAUGCGUAGAGAUUAGGAAGAACACCAGUGGCGAAGGCGAUUCUCUGGACUGUAACUGACGCUGAGGCUCGAAAGCGUGGGGAGGCAAACAGGAUUAGAUACCCCGUACGU